AUUGAACGCUGGCGGAAUGCUUUACACAUGCAAGUCGAACGGCAGCACGGGGCAACCUGGUGGCGAGUGGCGAACGGGUGAGUAAUACAUCGGAACGUGCCCAAUCGUGGGGGAUAACGUAGCGAAAGUUACGCUAAUACCGCAUACGAUCUACGGAUGAAAGCGGGGGAUCGCAAGACCUCGCGCGAAUGGAGCGGCCGAUGUCAGAUUAGGUAGUUGGUGGGGUAAUGGCUCACCAAGGCGAUGACGGGUAGCUGGACUGAGAGGUUGACCAGCCUCGAUGGGACUGAGACACGGCCCAUACUCCUACGGGAGGCAGCAGUUGGGAAUUUUGCACAAUGGACGCAAGUCUGAUGCAGCAACACUGCGUGAAGGAUGAAGGUUUUCGGAUCGUAAACUUCUUUUAUCAGGGAAUAAUCUUGAAUGUACCUGAUGAAUAAGCACCGGCUAACUACGUGCCAGCAGCCGCGGUAAUUCUCGCG
rnacentral:rRNA from 1 species